rnacentral:tRNA from 1 species
GCGGUGUGAGGCUUGUCAGCAGCCUUCCAAGCUGAAUACGAGGGUUCGAUUCCCUUCACCCGCU